UCUUAUAAACAUACUAUAAAUUACGGCUUCUAGACGUCGCGUUGACGUCCUGAUCGUCUUCUACCCUAAUUUGACCAAAUAAAGACGUUUCCGCGACGUUUUGUGCUACUAGGGAAUAUACUGCUGCCGUCAAAGCUCUUCACACAGGAAAGUCUCCCGGUUCCGAUGGCCUCCCAGCUGAAUUCUAUAAAUGCUUCUGGUCCACUCUUCGGAGGCCUUUGACAGUUCUGUUGAAUCAGUGCUUGGCACGACGUCUCCUCUGUCCGUCCAUGCGUGAGAGCAUUGUCACCUUGUUGUGCAAGGAUGCUUCCAAAAAACAAGACCCAAAUGCCUAUCGCCCUGUUUCACUGCUUAAUACUGACUACAAAAUUUUAUCAAAAGCGAUUUUGCAACACAUCUCUCCAGUUCUUGGUACAGUCAUUCCUCCUUUCCAGGCCUGUGCUGUCCCUGAGCGGUCCAUCACGCUUCAUACGCAGGCUUUAAGAGACGCCUUGUACAGGGCACAUAGUCGGCGGCGACCUUGUGUUUUAGUGUCGUUUGACCAAAGGAAGGCCUUUGAUCGUGUGCUUCACGAAUACAUGUACCGUGUGUUGGAGGCGAGUGGGUUUGAUCGCGAGAUCAUAUCGUGGUUCCGAGCACUGUAUGCUGGUGCGUCAGCCACCAUUGGUGUCAAUGGGGGUACCCCUGCUAACUUCCCCAUAACGGUGGGUGUCCGCCAGGGCUGCCCCCUGUCACCGGCACUGUAUGCCCUAGUGUUUGGCCCGCUUUUAGAGUCCCUCGCAUCCUCGGUUGCAUCCCGGAUGCUUGCCCUUCCGGGCACAUCUGCGUUACCGCUUUUUGCGUAUGCGGACGACCUGUCUCUCAUCCUGACCGACGAGGAAGCUAUCGGGAAUGUUCUCCAGGUAAUUGAAAGCUACGGUAGGGUUUCUAAUGCACAGAUCAAUAGAGAUAAAAGCGCACUACUUUUCGUCAACCUCAUCCCGUCGUGCUCCGCACCCUUUGGUAUUCCUGUGAAGAAUGCCGUGCGCGUUCUUGGGUAUGAUUUCCUGCCUUCAGGAAUAUCUCCCAGCACCUGGGCACGUGUCCAUAUGCGUAGUAUUCCUGUGCUCCGGGACUUGAAAGAGCUCGUACUCCCCAUUACCUGCAGAGCGCGCCUUGCUGCGUCUUGGUUUCUGAGUAAAUAUUGGUAUUUAGCCAAUACCUCCAUCCCUCCGCGGACUACUCUUCAGGCCGCUACACGUGCGGCGUUUCAGUUUAUCUGGGGCGGUUCAGUAGAAUGGGUAUCAAGAGGUCGUAUGUAUCGGCCUCGCGUAGAUGGCGGCCUUUUGGUGCCCGAUUUCAAAGUGAAGUGCCUUGCCUUAGGUCUGCGCGCGAUCUUUCAGGGUCUCCUAGAGCAGCGGCAUCCUGCUCAGGGUCUACUAACUUUUCUGUUAGGACCCGACAUUCGUUUUUUUUUCUGAGCUGACACACACUCGCCCGCGCUCAGAGUGUGUGGCUCCCCACCUGAAGGCAUACGUUGUGGCAAUGCGCAGCCUGCGAGCUUCUUUCCCUGAUGAUGACAUAACAUCAUGGCCCGUGCGGCGCCUUUACAUGGCACUUCUUGUGCUUAAUCGGCCACCCCCGAACUCGACGCCUAUUCAGCGCCACAUAGCGUGGCGUACGACCACUGCUGGCUGGCUGGACGCCCGUCGGGCCAGUCUUCAGUGGCGCUUAGCGCAUGACGUCUUGCCGCUGCGUGAGCGUUUUUCCCGCUUUGGUGUAACGUCACCCGGCUGUCCCUUCUGCGAGUACAGGGAGUCAGCAGAACAUGCUUUCAGUUUAUGUUUGUUGCCGGGUGCCCUGUGGCAUCGUGUAGCGGGCCUCUAUAGCCUGACGGAUGUUGAGUGGAGCACAGUUCGUGGUCUGUACCCCCUCCCUGUCUCGCAGCGGGAUAGGCGGCAUUUUGUGCUCUUGGUGGUCGAAAUCAACUACCAAGUGUGGAUUUCACGCUGUCGACGAGUGCACGCGCAGGAGAGCCGCAGUGUGCAGGAGGUGAUUCGGCUAGUUAACGCCGGUAUUCGCAAAGUUCUUUGCAGGGAGCGUGCGGUGCUUGGAGCAGUUGAGUUUCACCGUCGCUGGAUGGCCUCUGACAUCCUCUUCAGGGUGGACAAGGACAGCGACGCCAAUCCGCUUUGCAACGCGCACUAUGUUUUUAACCGGGAAUGCUCCAUGGCGUGGCACGCGCAUGUUCGACUAAAACACCGAUGCACGAGCUGAAGCGUCGUUCACUGCUUAGCGCCGAAGCAAAGAGUCCGUGCCCCUUUAAUGGAUGGAUGGAUGGAUUGUUGGUGCACCCCUGGUGGGCCUCUUGUGAUCCGACUCCUGGUCAGGGUUGCCAACUUACUAACACGCAACGCAAGAUGUAGCCGUCUGGGUGGCGAAAAGUUCCCAGGUUUCACUUCUGUGUCUACUAGCAAGUUCUCUGGCAACCUGUAUGCUCACACUGCGAAGCUACCAGGAAGCGAUUCGCCAGUCAAUCUCCAAGCCUCAUUCAGGCUCAGGUUACACCAGUUCCUACACAGCGACCGGCGUCAUACCUGCUGCCCUUAAACCCUUCCUGAGCUCUGCUUCCUCCACACCGUUGAGCUACAAGAACAUGACUUUCAGACAUGGAAUGGGCGUAAAAUAUAUCGAGCAAAGUGAAGAGAGACACGACUUACAUUCGGAAACAUUCGUAGGGCAAACCGGUUUCCCAACUCCACAAUCAGAACAGGAGCCUCUGGAAACCGUCUCAUCCUUACAACGACUGCUCCUUCUGCACUCAAAAAUACCUGCCAGACAAUUUUAUCCACCAGCGACGAUCAACUCGCCACUUCCAUUUCCAAAGAAAAAGCCACUUACGUACAUAGGUACGGUGUCGUAUUCACCACUUGGCAACUAUGCUUUCGGUUAUAGGGCUCCAGGCCACGGUAUGCCCCUGUCCAAAUGAUGAAAGCACGUACAGAAACAUAGUGUAUAGUUUUGAUCGAUAUUUUACGAAAUUAACCUGUCCGUAUGUAGUGUUAGUAUUGCUGGUGAAAAUCUCCUGCCUCUGACACCCAGGAGAGCAAUCGCCCAAGGGCGAUGCCUGUCUUGUGUACUCAUAAAUCACUGUGCGACCCGGACAUGUCAGACGAAGCGUUGACCGCUCGCCGUUAAUUUUAAAAUGUCUGGUAUAUCCUUUACAUUUUGGAGCCAACGUCUCUUCCUAUUACCACCACUGUCAUCCAA